AGUGGCGAAAGGGGCAGUAAGGCGUGGGUAACCUACCCCGGGGAUGGGCAUAGCCGUUCUAACGGACGGGUAAUUCCCAGCGAUCCGUCGAGGGGACAUCUUCUUGACGGGAAAUGAGUUUCGCCUCGGGAGGGGCUCACGUGCUAUUAGCUUGUUGGCGGGGUAACGGCCCACCAAGGCAAAGAUGGCUAGCGGGUGUGAGAGCACGACCCGCGCCACUGGCACUGAGACACUGGCCAGACACCUACGGGUGGCUGCAGUCGAGGAUCUUCGUCAAUGGGCGCAAGCCUGAACGAGCGACGCCGCGUGUGCGAUGAAGGCCUUCGGGUUGUAAAGCACUGUCGAGGGGGAUCAAGGCGCAAGCUUGAUUGAUCCCUGGAGGAAGCACGGACUAAGUUCGUGCCAGCAGCCGCGGUAAGACGAACCGUGCGAACGUUGUUCGGAAUCACUGGGCUUAAAGGGCGCGUAGGCGGCAGGCGAGGUCGGGGGUGAAAUCCCACAGCUUAACUGUGGAAGAGCCUUCGA
rnacentral:rRNA from 1 species